rnacentral:rRNA from 1 species
UACGUAGGGUGCGAGCGUUGUCCGGAAUUAUUGGGCGUAAAGAGCUUGUAGGCGGUUUGUCGCGUCUGCCGUGAAAUUUCGAGGCUCAACCUCGAACUUGCGGUGGGUACGGGCAGACUAGAGUGUGGUAGGGGAGACUGGACUUCCUGGUGUAGCGGUGAAAUGCGCAGAUAUCAGGAGGAACACCGAUGGCGAAGGCAGGUCUCUGGGCCACUACUGACGCUGAGAAGCGAAAGCAUGGGGAGCGAACAGG